rnacentral:rRNA from 1 species
GGAACUGCGGAAGGAUCAUUG